ensembl:lncRNA
CUUAUGUUUAUUUUUUAUUGGCACGACAUUCAUUUGUACAUUAGAAGUGUUGUAUUUCAGCCCCUGAAAAGUCUAGUGGUCUUGUACGCCCAUAAUGUGUACAGUCAGUGUACAUUCAUUAAUAGGGGAUGACAGUAUGUCAGUUCCCUUUAUCAUGCUCAGUGAAUUCUUUCAAACAGCCCAUCUUGGAGCUCUUCCACACUGCCAUAACCAAGUGUUGCUUGGUUCUCCCCCAGCGUUUAAUCUGAAAGAAGAGGGAUCAUUAAAAUAGAUGGAAAUAGCAGAUCAAGAGAAGCAAACUGGUUGGGAUCGAGCCUCAGGUAAAUUGUAGAAUCAAGGGCUGCGUAAGCAGCGCUCAUACGAGGUGUCAGAAAUAAAGAGUUUGUCAUCAAGGGCUACAUAUGAGGUAUGACCGUGCAUGCAUCAACUUACUAUAGUAAGCCAACACCAGUCUUGAGGUGGUGGUGAAUAUGAGUUCUGCCUCUCCUUCCCAGUACAAGCGCAUGUCUGCAAGGCUGCGGAAAUGGAACCAGGAGGUGAAUUAAGAGGCUAUUCUGUGGCAUAAACGUGCACCAGUGGUGAUUGAUAAAGCCUCAGAAAUUAAAACAGAGCAUUGUGCUAUUGACUAGCCAUCAUACAAGGCGUCAGUAAUUAAGGUGGUCAUCAGUGGCGACAAAUGAUGAGAUACACGUUAUCACUUGAAGUAGCUUACCAGAGUCAAACAGCACUGAUCCAAACUACAGCCAGCUGAGGGAAAAGUGAAAUGGGAUUAGUUCACCACCAAGCUUUGAACAGAAGAUACUGGGUUUAUAGGAGCCUCAGAAUAUAAAAAAAUCACUGGAGCCAAUACUGGCUCUCAUACGAGGUGUCAGAAAUAAAGAGUUUGUCAUCAAGGGCUAGAAAUGGCAUUCACAUGAAGAACCUUUAAAAUAAACUUACUAGAACUAGGCUUCGGGCCAUGAUGGCCACCCAGCUGGUUGCUGCUACAACUCCAGUUUGACCCAUGAUGCAGUCCAUGGCAAAUCUGAGGCUGCACAAAAAUCUGAUCAGGAUGAGCCCAUAAAGCUUUGAUUUGCAAAGACGGUCUAUGUUAUGGAUACGAGCCUCAGAAGAAAUUCAGAAUCACAGGAGCUAUUACUAGCUCUCAUACGAGGUGUCAGAAAUAAAGUGUUUGUCAUCAAGGGCUACAUAUGAUGUGUGGCAGUACAUGCAGCAACUUACUAUAGUAAUAUAUCAAGUCUUGAGGUGGCGAUUAUGGGAUCUGCUUCUCCUUCCCUGUACAACCAGCGUAGUCGUCUGCGGGAGGGAACCAGUAUGUGAUCAAAAGGCUAUUCUGUGACAUCAUAUGCACCAGUGGUGAUGGAUAAAGCCUCAGGAAUUAAAACAGAGCAUUGUGCUAUUGACUAGCCAUCAUACAAGGUGUCAGCAAUAAAAGGUUGUCAUCAGCGGCUACAAAUUAUGAUAUUCCCGUCACUUUAAUUAACUUACCGGAGUCCCAUCAGCACGGAUCUAAACUACAGCCAGCAGAAGUCCUGGACCCGGUUCAACUCAUGCGGCGGUCCUUGAGAAGGCUGAGGGAAAAGUGAAAUGGGAUUAGUUCACCAAAAAUCUAAUCCCAUUUGAUGAUACUGUGCUUACAGGAGCCUCAGAAUAUAGACAGAAUCACUGGAGCUAUUACUAGCUCUCAUACGAGGUGUCAGAAAUAAAGAGUUUGUCAUCAAGGGCUACAAAUGAGGCAAGACAGUACAUGCAGCAACUUACUAGAGCAAGACCACAAGUCUUGAGGUGCUGGUGAAUAUGAGAUCUGCUUCUCCUUCCCGUUACAAGUGUUGUCUGUAAAAGGAUACCAGGACUUGAACCAAACUGCCAUUCUAGGACAUGUGCAUCAGUGGCGACGAUAAAGCCUCAGAAAUUAAAACAGAGCAUUGUGCUAUUGACUAGCCAUCAUACGAGAUGUCAGUAAUAUAAUGUGGUCAUCAGUGGCUCCAUCCGACUGUCAAAAGAUGUCACAACACUAGCAUGAACUCACCAAAUUACACCAUCACCAACUGCAGUCUUGAGGUUGUGCUACCUCUUCAACUUUAGCUCAGAGUCAAUGCUGCGGAAGAUGUAAAACAGGAUAAGGGCAAGUUCAUCCAGACAACUGUUAAAAAGUAUACGGGUGAUGCCGAGAGCCUCAGAAGAAAAUCAGAAUCACGGGAGCUAUUACUAGCUCUCAUACGAGGUGUCAGAAAUAUAGAGUUUGUCAUCAAGGGCUACAAAUGGUAUCCACAUGAAGAACCUUUAAAAUAAACUUACUAGAACUAGGCUGUGGUGGUCAUCCAGCUGGGUGCUGCUACACCUCCAGUUUGACCCAUGGAGCAGUCCCAGGAAUGCUGAGGAAGAAGGAGAAAUCUGAUCAGGAUUUGAAUUGUGAACCAUAAGGCUUUGAUUUGCAAAGACAGGUUGAGUUAUGGAUUUGAGCCUCAGAAUAUAGACAGAAUCACUGGAGCCAUUACUAGCUCUCAUACGAGGUGUCAGAAAUAAAGAGUUUGUCAUCAAGGGCUACAAAUGGUAUUCACAUGAAGAAUCUUUAAAAUAAACUUACUAUAACUAUUCUGUAGGUUAUGGUAGCCCUGGGCGGUGCUACACCUCCAGUUUGACCAAUGAAGCACUGCUGGGAAAUCUGAGGAAGUACAAAUCUGAUCAGGAUACGACCCAUAAAGCUUAGAUUUGCAAGGAUAAGCGGUGUUACGGAUACGAGCCUCAGAGCAUAGACAGAAUCACUGGAGCCAUUACUAGCUCUCAUACGAGGUGUCAGAAAUAAACAGUUUGUCAUCAAGGGCUACAUACGAGGUACGACCGUACAGGCGUCAACUUACUAGAGUAAGACAUCCAAGUCUUGAGGUGGUGAAUAUGUGAUCUGCUUCUCCUUCCCUAAACAACAAGCGUAGUCGUCUGCGCGGCUGCUGAAAGGGAACCAGGAGGUGAAUUAAAAGGCUAUUCUGUGACAUAAACGUGCACCAGUGGUGAUGCUAAAGCCUCAGAAAUUAAAACAGAGCAUUGUGCUAUUGACUAGCCAUCAUACGAGAUGUCAGUAAUAAAAGGUGGUCAUCAGUGGCUCCAUCCGACUGUCAAAAGAUGUCACAACACUAGCAUGAACUCACCAAAUUACACCAUCACCAACUGCAGUCUUGAGGUUGUGCUACCUCUUCAACUUUAGCUCAGAGUCAAUGCUGCGGAAGAUGUAAAACAGGAUAAGGGCAAGUUCAUCCAGACAACUGUUAAAAAAGUAUUAGCGUGAUGCCGAGAGCCUCAGAAGAAAAUCAGAAUCACAGGAGCUACUACUAGCUCUCAUACGAG